AAAUGAAUUUUUUAUACUUAAAUAAACUAUGACUUGUUUUGUAUUUUUUAUUUCUUGCAGCGGUAAUAUGGCGCUAAAACAAAACGUUGGUUUUUCAUACAAUCUUUUGUAAGAUUUGCAUGCUAAUCGCUGAAAUGGAAAUUCCUAGGAGAUACUCACAAAAAAGCACUUCUCUGUGUUAAACAAUUCACGUCUUGGGUAGUAAACCCAGUCAAUUCGACCCUCUUAGAUGAGAGUUGGUUAGCAGUAUUCAUUUAAUUGUUUUCGGACGAGCUAGUUUUUCUGAGCCAGAGUGCACUUCCGUGGGAACGUUAAGAAUCUUGAAGACAUGUUAUGGUUCUCUUGGAUAGAUACGAAACUGAAGGCGGCAAUUUCGUUAUCCGGAGAUGUACUUGCGACACAUAGAUAAAAAAGAUGAUUAUUAAAGC